UACGGAGGGGGCUAGCGUUAUUCGGAAUUACUGGGCGUAAAGCGCACGUAGGCGGACUGGAAAGUUGGGGGUGAAAGCCCAGGGCUCAACCCUGGAACUGCCUUCAAAACUCCCAGUCUUGAGGUCGAGAGAGGUGAGUGGAAUUCCGAGUGUAGAGGUGAAAUUCGUAGAUAUUAGGAAGAACACCAGUGGCGAAGGCGGCUCACUGGUCCCGGUACUGACGCUGAGGUGGCGAAAGCGUGGGGAGCAAACAGG
rnacentral:rRNA from 1 species